rnacentral:rRNA from 1 species
GAACGCUGGCGGCGUGCCUAAUACAUGCAAGUCGAGCGAACAGACGAGGAGCUUGCUCCUCUGACGUUAGCGGCGGACGGGUGAGUAACACGUGGAUAACCUACCUAUAAGACUGGGAUAACUUCGGGAAACCGGAGCUAAUACCGGAUAAUAUAUUGAACCGCAUGGUUCAAUAGUGAAAGACGGUUUUGCUGUCACUUAUAGAUGGAUCCGCGCCGCAUUAGCUAGUUGGUAAGGUAACGGCUUACCAAGGCAACGAUGCGUAGCCGACCUGAGAGGGUGAUCGGCCACACUGGAACUGAGACACGGUCCAGACUCCUACGGGAGGCAGCAGUAGGAAAUCUUCCGCAAUGGGCGAAAGCUUGACGGAGCAACGCCGCGUGAGUGAUGAAGGUCUUCGGAUCGUAAAACUCUGUUAUUAGGGAAGAACAAAUGUGUAAGUAACUAUGCACGUCUUGACGGUACCUAAUCAGAAAGCCACGGCUAACUACGUG